UGCUAAAAUAAUAUUCUUACAUAACAGCAGGCUCAGCUGUUCUUUUAUUGGGCCUUGUUUAUUUGCUUUGAGACGAGCGGAUGAGAGCAGUUCAGGCGACGUUCAUUCAGUCUGAUCAGCGUCGCCCUCCGUGCUCCGUUACUGACGUUGUCACAGCAGGAACAAACAGCGACGUGCUCAUUCCUCAUCGACCCAGGGCUAAACGUGCCUCCAUCAGAAGACGAGCUACGCAUGCUCUGUGACUCGCGUUUGACCCUUUGUCACAAGGACAGCUGACAUGGAACAGAGGAAAACCAAACCCAGACAUGCAGGCAUGUUGUCGUUGUUGUUGGUUUGUAUGUUGCAGAGCAGCGCAGUGGGUUUCGUGGAGGAGUCCCGCCUCUCGGGUUCUGAUAGAACGCAUGUUGACAGGCCACGCCGCUUCUGGGAGACCGUUCCUCGGACAGAUGAAAGACGACGAGAGCGUUUUGUUGAGUCGCAUCAGCGCCGCGUUGGGCGAGGAACAAACCCAAGCCUUCAAAACAAAGGCGGACGCCCCCCACAGUGUAACACGGACGAGUCGCCGUCGUGUGAGGGGGCUGCUUUCGUGGCUUUGUUGUGUUUGGCUCAUGGAGCCUUUAAUCUGUGCAGGUAGCGGUGGAUGGAGAUUAUCAAGGCAUUGUGGAGGUUAACAUACCCCCCAGUGGUACAAGUAGCAUAACCACCUGUGUAUUGCAGUAUUGUACUGAAAGUAUUUGUUUUACAGCAGAACAUCAUUUUGUGCUAGAACAGAGAGAGUGAUUUUAACCUUCAACAUCACACAUCUUAUUUAAUUGUCCUUGUCACCCUGAUGCUUUCUGGUCCAGGCAAUAGACUAAUUACUGAACAAGCCUGAAGACAACAGUGGGCUUGAAGCAGAGCUUCUGUCCACUCACCGCGCCGCACUUCUAAAGGCUUUGCGCUCUCUGUGUUCAGAGAACGCCUGCGAUUUCGGGGGAUCAAGAUGAAUUUAGCUCUUUUCACAGCUUUGAAGCAGGCGCGUUUGAUUUUACUGCUUUUCAGCAAAAACGGAAAAUUGUUUUAAUGGAUGCUAAGUGUGCCGACACUUUUCAGUCACGCACGUGACGAUUCUGUGCAAAUGCUGCGUGAAUGAAGUAUACGUGAAGAUGCUUCGUAUUCGUUGACUGAAAUUUUGGUUCAUGAGGAGAAAGUGAAAGAAAACUCAAAAAGGCAUAAAUAAAAGCAUAAAAACAA